GGAGGUUGGCGGUGGACGUGUCCCUCGCCAACCGGGUCAGGUCCGGAAGGAAGCAGCCCUAACGAGCCCGACGCGGGUUACUUGUCAGCCUCCCAC
rnacentral:SRP_RNA from 1 species